CAGCCUUGGACAACAUUUAUUAUAACCGUUCAAGUACAUUUUACUGCAUAUAAAAGUCCUUUGUAAUUUAGAAUCUAUCAGCCAUGCUUUGCUUUCUAUAGUGGGUUGAAGCCUUUGGGCUACACAAAUGAUCUGCUUACCAAAAGUUUUUGGUGCUUCAGUUCUCAGGAAAGCAGAUGGGGGAGAAUAGAGAGGGUGAGCCAUGCUGGAGAAGCAGGGCACAUGCUAGAUAUAUCAGAUUGAAGAUCUGAGCAUUUUGCAUGUGCUCUUGUUCUCCAGCUUGGACCCUCUUUCUUGCAAACACAAGGCUGGAUACAUCGACCAGGCUGCUUUAUAUAAUGAUAAGAAUUGUGUUUGUUUUACUAGGUCAAAACAAGCUGCAAAGGGAAGAUUGAAAAGCUGGACGAAAAUAAAUGCAAAAAUCCAAGAAGAAAAGACUUGAUUGCUCUAUUGAGGACUUUAAUGAAGAUUUUAUUCCAGCAAACCAAAUAAUCCAGCAAUCAAAAAUAUUCGAUUUCAUUAUUUAUGUUCUUUAAAUUAAGAUUUUAUUUAAUUGUAAUUUUUUCUUUAUUAUUCUAGAAAUUUCCAUAAUAGGUUUAAGUUUACUCUUGCUCCAAGUUUGUUUUUUUGUUAUAAAUACAGCUGACCUAAUAUGUAAGAGGGAGAAUUGAUUUUUAUUAUGAUAGUUUAUCAAUAAGAAAUAAUGAGAGGUUGAGUUUUC